AACGAACGCUGGCGGCAGGCUUAACACAUGCAAGUCGAGCGCCCCGCAAGGGGAGCGGCAGACGGGUGAGUAACGCGUGGGAAUCUACCCAUCUCUACGGAAUAACGCAUGGAAACGUGUGCUAAUACCGUAUACGUCCUUCGGGAGAAAGAUUUAUCGGAGAUGGAUGAGCCCGCGUUGGAUUAGCUAGUUGGUGGGGUAAAGGCCUACCAAGGCGACGAUCCAUAGCUGGUCUGAGAGGAUGAUCAGCCACACUGGGACUGAGACACGGCCCAGACGCCUACGGGAGGCAGCAGUGGGGAAUAUUGGACAAUGGGCGCAAGCCUGAUCCAGCCAUGCCGCGUGAGUGAUGAAGGCCCUAGGGUUGUAAAGCUCUUUCACCGGUGAAGAUAAUGACGGUAACCGGAGAAGAGGCCCCGGCUAACAUCGCGCCAGCCGCCGCCGUAACAC
rnacentral:rRNA from 1 species